rnacentral:miRNA from 1 species
GUUUGUCAUUAGAAAAUAAUAUUAGGGUGGUGCAAAAGUAAUUGCAGUUUUGGCCAUUACUUUCAGUGGUAAAAGCCACAAUUUUGCACCAACUUAAUAUGAUAAAUUU